ACAGUUAGUGGAAGGAAGAGGAAAAUUUAUUUUAAAACAUACUCAUUUCGUCACAUGUUACAACUUGAAUAAUACUGUGAACGUAAGGGUUGAAGAAGAAAUAUAAUUGUGGGCCUAAAAUAGGAACUCACCGGAAAAUCAAACUUUUAGUGGUUAGGUCUUUGAGCUUUGAACAGUGAUUGGCAGGUGGGCUAAAAAAAAAUUGGCAACACUGUCUAACGUGCAGCUUGCGCCUUGCUCAAUGCUUGUGGUUCUUGUCAAUUUGUCCGCCAUUUUGUAAUUUGUUCAUUUGAUGGCUAGUGUUUAGUUUAAAUUGUAAUAAAAUACCGUUGCCUUAGUAUUACUAUUUACUGACAAGAAAAGGAAAGAUGUCACGGUAUGGAGACUGUAAAGUCUAUGUGGGAGAUCUUGGUAACAACGCUAGUAAACCUGAAUUAGAAGACGCUUUUUCCUAUUACGGUCCAUUGAGAAAUGUUUGGGUGGCCAGAAAUCCACCCGGCUUCGCUUUUGUAGAGUUCGAAGACCCGCGAGAUGCCGAAGACGCUAUUCGUGGACUAGACGGUCGCACAAUAUGCGGACGUCGGGCUCGUGUGGAAAUGUCCAACGGGGGUCGCGGUUAUGGGGGUCGCGGUCCCCCUCCGCGGUCACGCUUGCCGCCGCGUCCGUACGAUGACCGCUGCUACGACUGCGGCGAUCGAGGACACUAUGCUCGUGAUUGCACACGUCGCCGCCGUCGCAGGUUAUCAUUGGCCUGUGCGCCGAGACCGCAAUCGGCAGUUUCUGCACUUAUUGUCUGCGCUACGUAGUUUUCACGUCGCGGCGUGUACUCCGAUUAUGUUGGCCGCAUCGGUAACUUCGGCAUAGCUUCAGGCUGCGCGCACGAUCUUCUAUUCGAGAACUGCAUUGAGAGUUAUAUUCGUUCAACGCGUCGCGUCACUUCACGUCUAUUGUAAUCACUGCGCUCUCUCACCGCUCGAGGUCCCGCAGACGCACGCGCUCGCGCUCGCCGCGGUCGGGCUCUCGCUCGCGCAGCCGCUCCCGCUCGCGCUCGCGCUCCAAGGCUCGCUCAAUGUCGCGCUCGAGGUCACGAUCUGCAUCUAAAGAUUCCAAGAAGUCAAACUAGUUGUAACAAGCCAUUAGAAGUACUGUGUGAAUGUUAAACAAAUCUUUUUAGGCUUAUCGUUUUGAUAUGAGCCAAUACAAAUGUUUGAAGCAAUAUUACUGAAUCCACCUGGUUUUCACUUUAAAUAUAUCAUUCCUAUGAAUAAUGAUUUUAUAAGACAUCCAACGCAUUGAUUUAUAAUCAAUAAAAUUAGUUUUGUGAUAA